rnacentral:rRNA from 5 species
AAAACGACUCUCGGCAACGGAUAUCUCGGCUCUCGCAUCGAUGAAGAACGUAGCAAACUGCGAUACUUGGUGUGAAUUGCAGAAUCCCGUGAACCAUCGAGUCUUUGAACGCAAGUUGCGCCCGAAGCCAUCCGGCCGAGGGCACGUCUGCCUGGGCGUCACGC